AGGUUCCUCUUCUGGCAGAAUAUUCUGGCCCGUUCAUCCCCAGAGCACCAACCAGGACCCCCAACAGGACCAAGGAUAUAGCCAGGUUCAGUUUCUUGAUGCUGGGUAUACAGGUCAGCUAUAUGAUUCUGCUGAUGUUUCUGCUGGGUUACAAGAUGGGCUGUAUGAAGAGAUUGAAUUAAGAUCCAUCUCGGCAUAGUAGUUGGACGAAAAAAAGAGGUCCUUGAGGGGAACAUGGAUGUGAUAUUUUCACAUUCUCCAUGUAGGAUGCAGUCCUACACAGAAGUGUGAGCAGAGCUCUGCACGAACACACACACACACACACACACACCUUUGAUGAAGGAUUUUUAUCGCUAUUUACUUACAGAAAGUACAUAUUUCAUAUGUUGCCUUUUAAGUCACAUGAUUUAACAAUUUGUGAUUGGCAUUCCAAGUGAUUUUUGAGGUGCUGGCUUACUUAGCUCCUAAUAGGCUUUUUGUUCAAAAGGCAUAAAAGACCUGUCAUGUUUUAGGUCACUUGAGAAAUUUUACACAAAUAUUAACGGUUAGUACUUAUAACAUGAUUGUGACAACUGCGACCUCUGCUGGUUCACCUCCCCCUGCAGCG